rnacentral:rRNA from 1 species
UCACGAUGAACGCUGGCGGCGUGCCUAAUACAUGCAAGUCGAACGAGAACCCUUGUGAUUCGUCGUGGGAGGGGAUAGUUGGCGACACUGGUGAUGUUACACUGUGGGUGACCGUGUCCCGAAGGACGGAGAGUACCGUUGGAAACGACGGCUAAUACCCGAUAUACUCGGUGAUUCGGGUCAUCGACUAAAGGCUCCGGUGCUUCGGGAUGGGCCUGCGGUCUAUCAGCUAGUUGGUGGGGUAAUGGCCCAACAAUGCUAAGACGGGUAGGGGGCGUGAGAGCGCGGACACUCAUACUGGAACUGAGAUACGGGCCACACUUCUACUGAAGGCAGCAGUCAUCGAUAUUGCACAAUCGGCGAAAGCCGGAUGCAGCGACGCCGCGUGCGCGAUGAAGGCCUUCGGGUUGUAAAGCCCUUUUAUGGGGGAAGAGACAAGGACGGUACCCCAAGAAUAAGCGUCGGCUAACUACGUGCCAGCAGCCGCGGUAAAAGCGUAGGACGCAACGCGUUAUCCGGAUUGACUGGGCGUAAAUGAGCGUUGAGGCGGUUCCGUAAGUUGGGCGUGAAAGCCCCGGGCUUAACCCGUGGAGGUCAUGCAAUACUGCGUGACUUGAUGGCAGCAAAGGGAGGCGGAAUUCCCGGUGUAGCGGUGAAAUGCGUAGAUAUCGUGAGUAACAACAGUGGCUAAGGCGGGCUCCUGUGCUGUUUCUGACGCUGAAGGCGAAAUGCUAGGGAGCGAACGGGAUUAGAGACCCCGGUAGUCCU